rnacentral:rRNA from 1 species
AUUGAACGCUGGCGGCAUGCCUAACACAUGCAAGUCGAACGGGGCAGCAAUGCCUAGUGGCGGACGGGUGAGGAAUACGUAGGAAUCUGCCCUUAAGUGGGGGAUAACCAGGGGAAACCCUGACUAAUACCGCAUGAUCUCUUCGGAGCAAAGAGGGGGACCGCAAGGCCUCUCGCUUCUGGAUGAGCCUACGUCUGAUUAGCUAGUUGGUAGGGUAAAGGCCUACCAAGGCGACGAUCAGUGACUGGUCUGAGAGGAUGAUCAGUCACACCGGAACUGAGAAACGGUCCGGACUCCUACGGGAGGCAGCAGUGGGGAAUAUUGGACAAUGGGCGCAAGCCUGAUCCAGCAAUGCCGCGUGUGUGAAGAAGGCCUUCGGGUUGUAAAGCACUUUAGCCUGGAAAGAAAAAACUUUGGUUAACACCCAAAGUCUUGACGGUACCAGGAGAAUAAGCACCGGCUAACUCUGUGCCAGCCGCCGCAGUAAGAC